CAUGUUUCUUAAUAGUUUUUGUUAUCAGUUAUGUACAUUAGGGUUUUAUGUUACAUCUUCCGUUGUUUAAUGAAUGUUUAUUGCAUUAUUUAAGUAUUGUGGGUUACCAUGAUGGUGUUUUGCGUUUGCGUGAAUGACUCUGUGCACCUUCUUAUAUAAGCAUGUAUUUCAAUUCGUGGAAAAGCUGCUUGUGGUGAACUCUGAUUCUUCAUGUAGCUUUCUCUUUCACCACCUGCAUUAUUAUGAUGGUUGUCAGGAUAUGUUAAAGCCAGAGAAACCCACACCAAGUCAACGAUGAAGAGAGAAUCUGAGUUUCAAAAACCACUUCUCAAAAUAGCACCACAAAACUCCACUUCCGUUCAUAAGAGAAAAUGCUGGACCUUGGACACAAGACAGGAAGUACGUAAAGGGCGUCGGACCAUCACUAAACAUGGAAGGCAGAUCCACUGAAAUUAGAGGGAGCAGUUCUCAAAUUGUCAAUAUGCACACAAUGCUAGUUAAUACCAAUUUAAUGUAAGUCAUGAAUGCUUUUACAUCUAAAUACAGUGUUCAAUUGCCAGGCUAGAG